GGGUCGGUGGCGUAGUUGGUUAUCGCAUCUGUCUAACAUCCUGUUCACAGAAGGUCCUCAGUUCGAACCUGGGCCGACUCA
rnacentral:tRNA from 1 species